UACAGAGGUCUCGAGCGUUAGGCGGAAUCACUGGGCUUAAAGCGUGUGUAGGCGGUUCGGUAAGUCUGUCGUGAAAUCCUGAGGCUCAACCUCGGACGUGCGAUGGAUACUGCCGGGCUAGAGGAUGGUAGAGGCGAGUGGAAUUCCCGGUGUAGCGGUGAAAUGCGCAGAUAUCGGGAGGAACACCAGUAGCGAAGGCGGCUCGCUGGGCCAUUCCUGACGCUGAGACGCGAAAGCUAGGGGAGCGAACAGG
rnacentral:rRNA from 1 species